UAGGAGUUGAAGGUGACUGGAUUUUUUGGCCCAGGACAGGGUCCGGUGGAGGGCUUUGGUUAAUUUGGUGAUGAACCUUCGGGUUCGGUAAGCCAUCUAGUUAGUGAGUGGUCUCGUGCAGCAAUGCCAACAACAGUGCAGACAUGUAUCCGUCAAAUGCCUCGAACUUUAACAAAUGUGAGUAAUUAGUUUCUUCGAUCAAUCUUAUAAGGUCUGUUAUUUCUGUUUAAUGAAAAUCAAACUAAUACUGGACCGGUUAGUGUGUGAAGUGUUUUAUUUCAUCGCACGAGGACUGAAGAUCGAAAUAAAAUGGGUGUUCCUUCGUAUGGCCUUGGGCAGACAAGUCGCUCGGAUAGAAGAUACGUCUGAAGUGGUAUGAGUUUGUGCUGUGUGACUGGACAGAAUGAUCAGGUCAGCUGUCGUAUGCUGUGAUAGAUCAACCCAGAAGACGACCAUAUUCGACUGUCCUUGGGUCUCAACCAAACUCCUACAGUAAAGCCACAUGCAGCC